UGGGGAAUAUUGCGCAAUGGGCGAAAGCCUGACGCAGCGACGCCGCGUGAGGGAUGAAGGCCUUCGGGUUGUAAACCUCUUUCAGCAGGGAAGAAGCGAAAGUGACGGUACCUGCAGAAGAAGCACCGGCUAACUACGUGCCAGCAGCCGCGGUAAUACGUAGGGUGCAAGCGUUGUCCGGAAUUAUUGGGCGUAAAGAGCUCGUAGGCGGUUUGUCACGUCUGCUGUGAAAAUUCGGGGCUUAACCCCGGACUUGCAGUGGGUACGGGCAGACUAGAGUGUGGUAGGGGAGACUGGAAUUCCUGGUGUAGCGGUGAAAUGCGCAGAUAUCAGGAGGAACACCGGUGGCGAAGGCGGGUCUCUGGGCCAUAACUGACGCUGAGGAGCGAAAGCAUGGGUA
rnacentral:rRNA from 1 species